rnacentral:tRNA from 1 species
UCAGAGGGUAGUUUAAGUUUAAAAUGUUAGUUUUGGGAAUUAAUAAUAGGAAAUGUUCCUCCCGCUGAU